GACGAACGCUGGCGGCGUGCUUAACACAUGCAAGUCGAGCGGUAAGGCCCUUUCGGGGGUACACGAGCGGCGAACGGGUGAGUAACACGUGGGUGACCUGCCCUCAGUUCUGGGAUAAGCCUGGGAAACCGGGUCUAAUACUGGAUAUGACUCCAUGACGCAUGUUGUGGGGUGGAAAGCCUUGUGCGGCUGAGGAUGGGCCCGCGGCCUAUCAGCUUGUUGGUGGGGUGAUGGCCUACCAAGGCGACGACGGGUAGCCGGCCUGAGAGGGCGACCGGCCACACUGGGACUGAGACACGGCCCAGACUCCUACGGGAGGCAGCAGUGGGGAAUCUUGCGCAAUGGGCGAAAGCCUGACGCAGCGACGCCGCGUGAGGGAUGACGGCCU
rnacentral:rRNA from 1 species